AUUAAUUUAACAUAUAACUAAUGUAUUAAAUUUAAAAUUUAAAAAACUUUUAGAAUUAAUU
rnacentral:tRNA from 1 species